UAAAACAUGGUCUUUUGUUUAUAUAAAAGAUCUGGCCUGCCCAAUGAUAUUGUUUAAUGGCUGCAGUAUUUUGACUGUACAAAGGUAGCAUAAUCAUUUGUCUUUUAAUUGAAGUCUGGAAUGAAUGGUUGGAUGAAAGGUUUACUUUCUUUAUUUUAUAUAUAAAAUUUAAUUUUUAAAUUAAAAAGUUUAAAUAUUAAUAUAGGACGAGAAGACCCUAUAGAACUUUAUUUUUAUGAAAUAUUAAUUAUUUUGUUAAUUAUGACUUUAUAUUUAUCUAUAAAUUUUGUUGGGGUGACAAAAAAAAUUUUUUAACUUUUUUUAUUUAUUACAUUUAUGUAUGUGUUUUUGAUCCUUUAUUAUGGAUAAAAAGAAUAAGUUACCUUAGGGAUAACAGCGUUAUUAUUUUAGAGAGUUCAUAUUGAUAAAAUAGUUUGCGACCUCGAUGUUGGGAAUUAAAAUUAGCUUUAGGGGUAUAAUAUUAAAGUUUAAGUCUGUUCGACUUUUAAAUUUUUACAUGAUCU
rnacentral:rRNA from 1 species